rnacentral:rRNA from 1 species
UGGGGAAUAUUGCGCAAUGGGGGGAACCCUGACGCAGCCAUGCCGCGUGAAUGAAGAAGGCCUUAGGGUUGUAAAGUUCUUUCGGUAUUGAGGAAGGUUGAUGUGUUAAUAGCACAUCAAAUUGACGUUAAAUACAGACGAAGCACCGGCUAACUCCGUGCCAGCAGCCGCGGUAAUACGGAGGGUGCGAGCGUUAAUCGGAAUAACUGGGCGUAAAGGGCACGCAGGCGGUUAUUUAAGUGAGGUGUGAAAGCCCCGGGCUUAACCUGGGAAUUGCAUUUCAGACUGGGUAACUAGAGUACUUUAGGGAGGGGUAGAAUUCCACGUGUAGCGGUGAAAUGCGUAGAGAUGUGGAGGAAUACCGAAGGCGAAGGCAGCCCCUUGGGAAUGUACUGACGCUCAUGUGCGAAAGCGUGGGGAGCAAACAGGAUUAGAUACCCUGGUAGUCCACGCUGUAAACGCUGUCGAUUUGGGGGUUGGGGUUUAACUCUGGCGCCCGUAGCUAACGUGAUAAAUCGACCGCCUGGGGAGUACGGCCGCAAGGUUA